rnacentral:ncRNA from 1 species
UAUUAGAAGCUCUUAGUGUUUUGAAGAUAUCCAGCAAUUCCCGUACAUGGAUGUACGGGAAAGGCACAUUUGAGCCUGGAUGGCGAAUAUGUGCCGGUUGCGUGGCACUCAUAUAAUGAGAUCAAAACACUUAGAGCUUCUUU